rnacentral:rRNA from 1 species
CGGGUGUGGCCCCGGUCUAAGUUCCUUGGAACAGGACGUCACAGAGGGUGAGAAUCCCGUACGUGCCCGGUGGCCGCCCCCGUGUGAAGCUCCUUCGACGAGUCGAGUUGUUUGG